UACGAGGGGGGCAAAUGUUGUUCGGAAUCACUGGGCGUAAAGGGAGCGUAGGCGGGUUUCUAAGUCAGGUGUUUAAUCCCGGGGCCCAACCCCGGACAGGCACUUGAAACCGGGAAUCUUGAAUAGUGGAGAGGUCAGUGGAAUUGGGGGUGUAGCGGUGGAAUGCGUAGAGAUCCCCAAGAACACCAGUUGCGAAGGCGGCUGACUGGACACAUAUUGACGCUGAGGCUCGAAAGCAUGGGGAGCAAACAGG
rnacentral:rRNA from 1 species